rnacentral:tRNA from 1 species
UGGGGCAUGGUGUAAUGGAUAGCACAGUAGGCUGCGGACCUGCAGAUCCGGGUUCGAUUCCCGGUGUCCCAACCA